GUAGCAUAAUCAUUAGAGGUUUAAUUGGAAUCUGGUAUGAAGGGUUGGACAAAGAAAGAGCUGUCUUUAAGGUAUAUAUUGAAGUUUACUUUUAAGUGAAAAGGCUUAAAUAAAUCAAGGGGACGAUAAGACCCUAUAAAGCUUUACAAAUAAAUUAAAUCUGGUUAAUUUGUAAAAUAAUAAUUGAGUUUAAUUAUUUUGUUUUGUUGGGGUGAUGUGAGUAUAAGUAAUAAUAACUGCUUAAAAAAUAUACUGUUAUAUGAGAAUAAAAAAUAUAUGAUCCUUUUUAAAGAUUAAAAGACUAAGUUACUUUAGGGAUAACAGCGUUAUUUCUUUUGAGAGUUCAUAUCGAAAAAGAAGAUUGCGACCUCGAUGUUGAAUUAAAAUAUCUGUAUAGUGUAGCCGUUAUAAGAGAAGGUCUGUUCGACCUUUAAAUUUUU
rnacentral:rRNA from 1 species